AGUAGCAUGGGGCCCAUGUGUUUUGGGAAAUCCAGAACAGAGCUCUUUUACUGAACUCCUUGUUGUGUUUGUGUGGCAUUCCUGGGCUUCCAUCUACAGAGACCAUGAGUGACUUCUGCUGUUGCGUAAGUGGUUCUUAAAGAAUGGAAGCAGGAGCCUGAGAAAGUUUAAGGUGUUGCAUUAGGGCAGGAAAAAAGAGCAAAGGAUGGCUUCUUUCGUUGGCUCUGUGGCUGCGUAGUUGAACUUGGCUUACAUGGAGUAAUGUCUGUUUUAGGGAUAUGUGCCAGCUUCAAAAAUAGUGACGGGAGUUGUUACCAAUUUAGAUAAUUGGCUUUUCAAGGAUCUGGGGAUUGGUCAGUUGUAGAGUCCAGCUGGCUUCUGACAUUGGCCAGCCCAGGUCAGUUUAAGAUCAUGGGGGAAAGUUACUCUCUCAUAGCAAGUGUUCUGUCUGUGUGGUGGGUGACAGACUCUGGGUUCAUUUGUUCAAUACUCUUAAAAAUUAAAACCACACAAAAGCAGAUGUUGCUUGAAUGUAAAUAAUAUGGCUUUAUGUAAAGAAAUAAUUUGAUAGUCAUCUAUCCUGCACAAAGUCUAAUUGUCACUAUAUUGCAUGUAGGUGAUGUAAAUAAGCUUUAAGAAAGGAAAAGUGCUUUGAAUAAUCUAGGCCUGAUUAAUGCUUGUCCUUCAGUACCAGUAUUUUUUCUCCAUCUCACUAUUUAGUUGAUACUUUUUCAAGAAAACCUUUCUAGCUCUGGAAAUGUGCUUUCACAUCUGCUUGGAAGUGCUCAGGCAUGUGGCAUGUGUUUAAGACCAGCGCAGAUGCAGAAACAAGGCAGUCCUUCACUCAGGUCUAUUGAGAAGCCUGACCUAGGAGGCGAUGCCAACGUGUGCCUGGUUUUGCUUUGAGAGGAUUGGCUCCUUCUAUUGAAGUGUAUCUGAAGGAAGUUUAUAAUUCCACAUUCGAGUCCUUUCUGUGGUUUCUACAAGAUUGAGGUUAUGUUCAUUUUUUAAUUGAGGAGUUGAAAUUUGCAAACUCUUACGUUGCUGUAUUUGUCAGUCUCAGAUCUCAGCGCUAUGCUAGAGAAGCUGUGUUACCAUCAUUAUAUCUUUGGAAGCCAAGGAGAAUAUUACAGUAUUUUAGGUUCAGUGAAGGAAUUGGUUACUCUAACAUGUAGACCUCAUUCGUUUUGUUUCUUAGAUUCUGUCCUCUCUGAUGACUUUCAUGGUUGUUAGGACGAAGCAAUGAUCAUCCUAAUGAUCUUCGAGUUCUCUAAGCAGUAGCGGUGUGAGCUUUAAAGGACUGACCACUUUUUGUAGCUCUGUUUAAUACAUCCAGGCAGCUUAUUAUUAAAUUAAAUGUUCUGGUGUAAAAAUAUAAGUCUGGCUUCUGAGGUGAAAUGUCGUACGAUGCUGUUCCUGUUCCAGCAGAUCAUUGGUAACUUCCAAGCUUGCGUGGGGUUUCAUUCUCCAUGCAGAUUCCCAGCGUUUGGCCUGUAGUCAUGUGGUAGUGAACUGUAACGCGUAGUUAAAAGUGGAACCUUAAAAUAGGAGAGGUUCGCUAGCUAUAGAAAGCACUUAGUCAUCUGUGCGAAGUUCUGUGGGAAGCUGUUGCUGAAUCCUCCAGACAUUGCAUCUGGCAGCAGAAAGGGAUCAUUAAAUGUUGCAAGUGUUGAGUGUCUUUUUUUUUCUAAUUGUGCAUGUGAAGUACAACUGAUACUUAUUAAAUAUUAACUUAUCAGUGUGCUUUGAAAGAUGCACCCGGUUGGACAGGAACUUGCACUACACCUGAACAGAACAGAUGGCUGCCAAGUUCUAGGAAUGAUGGUGAACUGUCUGUGGCUACAGACAUGCCUGCAGAUAUUGGCUGUAUUUUGUAAAGGUAUUGAAAUGAAGAUCUUGCUAUCACAUACACAGCUAUGAAACCUUAUGUAACAAAUGAUUUUAAAACACUUGGUGAAAAAUACCAUAGUUGAGGUUUCCAUUCCAUUCAGUUAUCAAUUCUCUUUGGAGAAUUGGUGGCAACUACUCGCCUUUCUGUUACUUGCUGUAAAGGGUAACUUAUUUCCUUCCUGUUAAUCAGAUGAGUUUUAGUUUUCAAGUGCUAACUGCCUUCCAGCCUACAUAAGAUGUUGGCAUAUAAUUUUAUCCCCUUCAAACGGCCUAUUGUAGAUGUUCCUUGAGAUGUUUAACUGUGUUAUUGGUUGUUCUAGUUCGGAUAUCAAAUAACUUAUCUGGGCUUAGAUGUAUUUCCAUUUGAUUAACAAGUGGAAUACUAGCUUUUGAUACAUGAUAGAUUUGAAUGUAUCAUUUGAGUACUUCAUUCUCAGAACAGAUACACUUGAGUCUGUCUCUCAGUCCAUUGGUUCACUUCAAUUUUUAAGUAGGCAAUCGAAAUCUGUCACAACGAAGGGAAUUGGAUUGUAAAAAUGAUACAGUGGAAUGCAAGGGCUUUUGAUAAAUGGAUGGCAGUUAGCUUAGAAUAUUUAAAACUUGUUUCAAAAAAAAAAAACCCAACACAUUCAUUAUAUGAAUAUUUUAUUAUUUCCUAUGCUGAUUAUCUGUCACUUCUUAUUGCUGUUUCCUUAGCAGGAACUGGUGGAUAACUUCAGAGGUUGUGUCUGUUUAGUCAGUCCGCGUUUGCUUCAUUUUCCCCCCUUGAUUUACCAAAUCAGUUACUUUCUGCUUUAAUUUUCUCUGUAACAGAAUCUUCUCUCAUUCUCACUGUCUUGCUCUGUGUGACUUCUCUGGAUUGAGCGUUUUAGCAUUCAGGUUCAACCUAAUGGGUUUUAUUCUGUGUAGACCCUUGAAACCUCUUUUAAAGACCGAGCCUUAUUUCUUUCUUUCCACUCGGUGCUUCCAGAAGUAUUUAAUUGAAGAAUUUGUAAUAUGCACUUUGGUUGGAUUUGGGAGGACAGGAGUCGUAAUUUAUUACAGAGAGGCAGAUGUGAAACAUUCAGCACCUUCCCGAUGUGGUUUAUACUAGGAAUGAAAUUUCUCAGCCUAUAUGCUGUUAUAGAAACACAAUCAGGAUGUAGUAUAUUAACUUCUAUUAGUUUAAGCAUAACUUUUCCCAGAGGAUUUUUGCAUCUUUCUUCCAUCUAUUUUCUUUAAUCACCUUCCCAGCACUGAAGGGAUGUAGGCCCAAUUUAUGAGAAACGUACUGGUGCAGGCUGCUAAAUAGCUGAGAUUUAUUUACUACUUCUAUAAAUAGAUUAAGCACUGAAAUUGCAAAUGGAUGCGUGUAAUUUGCAGUACAACGACGCUUUGAUUAAUCAGGAAACUCAAAUUGCAUUGUUGUUCAGCUUAGCAUUGACUGUAGGCUGUGGGUGUCUGCUCCUCUAAGUGCGUGUUCCUUUGGUUAGAAACAAAAGUGUCCUGGUUUGGUGAAGGCAGAGGUUUGGGUCUAACAUUAGCAAUGUAAGUCUUGAGGCAGUCAAAGGCUGUGCUUGGCCGAGUCAUUGUGAACACUGAGAAGUACCAGGGUUCUGCCCUGCUUCCUUGUUCAUGGUGCGUCACCUGGUAGGCAGGCUGAAAUGGCCAUUGAGUUGUGGAUGUUGGAGGGUGAAGGUCAGUGGACAGACUGCAUUAAUCUGAGUACCUUGUGUUGCCUCUUGCUGCUGUUGUUUCUGGCUACAAAUGCUUAGAUGUUCUCUGAUCUGCAGUAGACAAUAUGUGCUUGUGUGGCUCCUUGACCUGCUGGUGACAGAGCCUCAUAGAUAUGGCCAUUGGUUUAGAUAUUGGCCUUUUCUGUCAUUGACCUUGGUAGGCUAUUUCCCUCUCCUAGCUUUUAAAUGAUGCAGAUAAGGUGUCCACAAAGGAUGACUUAAUGUGUGCUUCCUAAUUUUUAACAAGGCUGUUUUUAAAGGCUUAAUCUAUUCUACCCGCUGUGGUUGGUACUUCAAGAAAAACUGCAUAGAACUUGUCUUAAAAAUAGAAGCAGACAGAAUAGUCUGCUGUAAUGUCUGUGAUGAGCAGAGAUUAAUUCAGAUGAUUAGCAUCCCAGGGACAAAUACCGACAACUGUUUAAAACAGGUGCUCUGAUGUUCAAAGUCACUCCAACUGUUUGUUGAGCUCUGGUGUUGUGUUACAUGAAUUAGUCACUGCUGUAAAAGAAAGUACUUCUGUUAAAUCUUUUCCUACUUCUGUCGGGAGCGUACGAUCAAAGCUUGUUUUAAAGAAAAUGGCAUUUAUUUUUUCACUGUCAAGAAUAUUUUGCGACUGGUGGUAUUUAGGAAGGAAACGAAGCUGUCGAAGAACCUUUAGGUGAUGAUAUUUGUCGUCCUGAGUGUGGACAGUCUGAAAGGCAGCCGUUGAAGUGAGGAUGUUGGGUAACCCCACUGUGGGAGGGUUGUGGGUCUGGCCCUCAGCAUCACCAGGACAUUGAACAUAAAGGAUGUAGGGGCAACAAUGGAGCCCUCCAAAAUGCAGCCUCAGUCUUUUGGUACUGACUUAUUUUGUGGUGUUUGUUUCCAGGCACUGGGCUUGUGGAUAAAUAGUUAGCAGGACUAACUAGGAUUGUCCAUGGAUUGUGGAUACCUGGGAAUGUAGUUAGAGUAACACAUGAAGCUACAGAAACGAGCUGUCCUCCAGCAGCUGGUUUUGUGAGGAAAAACUCGCACUUCCUGAGCAAGGAGUUAUUUAUAUUUCUCUAUGAAAUGAAGAAAGCAGGUGGGUUCUUUGGUUUUCAGUUUUUUGGUUCUGUGCCUCUUCCUCAUGCAGGGAUGUGCUAGUACAAAGGGAAUGCCAAGCAAUUAGCCUUUUGGAGCCUCGCUGAUGGAGCAUAUGUCUGAAUUGCUGCUUUGGUUUUAAGAUGAGCCUUGUAUGGUGGAGAAAGGCAAUGCAAUUAUAGUAACUUUUACAUUUAAAUCCCGUCCCAAGUACGCUUUUAAGAAAAAUAGCAGGAAACUGAUUCUGCAGUUGCACUCUGUAUUGACUUGAAGACAACAGUCUCAAAAUGAUGUAGCACUAAUUAAACGGACAAAUAACGUUGCUGCUUUUUCUUCAAAGCCAGCAAUACGUUUAAUGAUCAAGUGACAGCCCCUUCUGCCCUCCUUCUCAGAAAUAAAUCAAUUACAAGACUGUGUUGGAAGCAGUUGAGAUGAGUCAUAAAAUAACUUACGGAUAUGUUGAAACCAGCAUGCUUGCACGCAUUCUGGGGUUGCUUUGCUAAUUAGCACCUAAAAAGGUCAGAAUUCCUUCUCUGGUGAUUAGCUUCAGAUCAUUUCAGUUGCCACUGUGCGUUGGAGAAAUUAAAAUACUUAUCCAUGUAUGAGGUGAGGCUCUCACUGCAUUUUCUUGAGUCUCAGGAAGGCACAUGAGCUCUAGUAGCUCUUGAUUGCUUCUUCAUGUUUAUUUAAGCCUGCGUUGACUGCUUAUACUGGCCUGAUGUGGAAGCAAUUAAGGAUUAUUUUGUGUAGCUCAAACUCAGGUUUGGUGUAGGCUAAAACACAUUAGGCUCAUACACCUCGUGCCUCUAGAAAAAUCAGCGUGUAAUUGAGGUCAGUGGAGACUGCUAUUGUGAAUAAGCAAUUAUGCCUUGGUUAGCUUGCUUUCCAGUUCUUGGAUGAACAGUGUAUCCCAAUCCUGUGUGCUCAACCUGACACCUGAUGAUGAAGUGGAAUUUCAUUGCUGCUGUCAAACUGCUUGUUUUGUUGGGUGUGGGAGGCCUUUUGUUUUUCCUCCUAGUGCAGAUUGUGUGAGCAAUGGAAGUGCGACCAAAUCACACGUAGCCCAACGCUGUGCCACACGUUAGGAUCCCUCUCCUUCCCAUCCAUCUUUCUCCCCUUGGUUUCACGUGUCCUGAGGAGCACUUGCGUGUCUUUGGGGAAACCCCUACAGUACUGAAAUAAAUCUACAACAUCACAGUGACAAAAGGGAAAUUCCGUGUGGGUUCUUGAAAAAUGAUGACGUGGAAGAUGAGGUUUUGAGUUUGCCUCAAAGUGUAGAGGGAAGCAUUUAAAUUAGAUGUCAUCUCCAACUACUGUAGCUGUGGUUUUCAUGUGGCGGAUUUCUUAGAAGAACUUCAGUUGUGCUUGUCUGGAAGUAAUAUUAUUUAUCGGUUGUCUUUAGAAAUUCUUUCUAGGCACAUCUUUCAAGAUGAAAUUCCUUUUUUAGCCAUUAAUUAGAAAUUAGCUGUUGUGUUAGUUUUGGGUAUAUACCUAAAAGGAAGAUAUGGUCCUAAAUCUAAUGUCUGGCACACAGCCCUUCUCAAGACAUGCUGUGUCAACCAGUAGCUCCCACAGACUUCUUUAAGAUUCUUUUUGUAUAGGACACAGCCAAAUUUCUCAAUAUCUUGGUGUGUUAGAACAGUUAGAUUUGACUGUGUAACGUGGCACGUUUCCUUCUUUGCAUGUAGUGCAAAUAGACGCAUGGGGUAAUGAAUAAUGGGGUCUGAGUAGCCUAAACAUUCAGGGAAGGACUUCAGCGUGUUUCUCAGGACAGCGUGCUUUGAGUAAUAUGGUUUGAAAUGUUUCUCUCUCAACAAGAGGGUUGUUUAGAAAAGGGUUUGCUUCGGUUGUAAGAUCUUUCUGGGCAUUCUUUGCUGCUGACUUGUUAGCAUUGCUUUGGAUAUGCUAUGAGAACUUGAAAAAAUGGUGGUCAGUAGCAGCAAAGCAGCAAGAAUGGCUGUAUGUUCUUUCCAGUGUGAGAGAAACUGAGAUACAGUUCAGAUUAUGCCAUUAUUAUUCCAUGAUUUUUAAGGCUUAUUUGUAGCAAAUUAAAAUAGAGGAUCUGCCUUGGGGAAGGUCAUUUGUCUAAAGUAUUUCAUUAUAUUUUAUUUUGUUUAUUAUAAGACUUGCAAUUCAUUUUAAGAGCCAACAGCAAUACGGGGCUAAACUUCUGUUGAGGAUUUUGCAUUUGUGGCAUAUACAGACUAUCUACACGUCAAAGGAAUAUUUUAGUAGUUAAUUUGCCUUUACAAACAUUGGGCUGUUUGUACAGAUCUUUAUCUUUGCCCUGUCUCUGUGGAGUCUUCACCAACACGUGAUGAAUUUGGGUAGGAUGAGCAUCUAACAGCCUGGGGAAAGGGACAUCUUUCAAGCGAAUGGUCCUGGUUUUGUGGUGUGUCCUCUAGGGCCAAACUAGAUUUGGUCCAACGUGCUGUUUGUUCCUUAUAGCUUCAUUUCUCACAGAGGUUGCUCUGAGAUCUGAUUUUGCUCACCACAGCAGAAGAACGGAAGAGAAUUGAUGAAUCUGAUUUUCAAGUCCGAGUGCCAAGAAAUGAUGAGAAAUAAAGAAUGCUGAGAUUUUCUUCUUUCUGGAAAAAACAUUGGAAAAAUAUUUUCUACCAAUAAAUCGCUUUCAUGAAGUGA